GACGAACGCUGGCGGUGUGCUUCACACAUGCAAGUCGAACGAGGUAGCAAUACCUAGUGGCGGACGGGUGAGUAACGCGUGGGAAUCUGCCUUUAGAUGGGGGAUAACGGGUCGAAAGACUCGCUAAUACCGCAUAUGACGAAAGUUGAAAGGAGUAAUCCGUCUAAAGAUGAGCCCGCGUCCGAUUAGCUAGUUGGUAGAGUAAAAGCCUACCAAGGCGACGAUCGGUAGCUGGUCUGAGAGGAUGAUCAGCCACAAUGGGACUAGAGACACGGCCCAUACUCUACGGAGGCAGCAGUGGGAAUUUUACGC
rnacentral:rRNA from 1 species